CCCGUAAGGCUAAAUACUCUCUAGUGACCGAUAGUGAACAAGUACCGUGAGGGAAAGGUGAAAAGAACCCCGGGAGGGGAGUGAAAUAGAAAACUGAAACCAUGUGCUUACAAAAAGUCAGAGCCCGUUAAUGGGUGAUGGCGUGCCUUUUGCAGAAUGAACCGGCGAGUUAUUGUAUCAUGCGAGGUUAAGGUGAAGAGCCGGAGCCGAAGCGAAAGCGAGUCUGAAUAGGGCGAACUAGUAUGGUGCAAUAGACCCGAAACCGAGUGAUCUAUCCAUGGGCAGGUUGAAGGUUUGGUAACACAAACUGGAGGACCGAACCGACUUACUAGGAAAUGUGAGCGGAUGACCUGUGGAUAGCGGUGAAAUUCCAAACGAACUCGGAUAUAGCUGGUUCUCCCCGAAAUAGGUUUAGGCCUAGCGUUCUAUGAAUCACUCUGGAGGUAGAGCACUGAAUACACAAUGGCGGCAUCUAGCUGUACUGAGUGUAAUCAAACUCCGAAUGCCAGAGAAAGAGUGUAGAGCAGUCAGUGUAUGGGUGAUAACGUCCAUACGCAAGAGGAAAAGAAUCCAGAUCGCCAACUAAGGUCCCAAAAUAUAUGCUAAGUGGGAAAGGAUGUGGAGUUGUCAAAACAGCUAGGAGGUUGGCUUAGAAGCAGCCAUCCUUUAAAGAGUGCGUAAUAGCUCACUAGUCGAGUGACACUGCGCCGAAGAUGUACCGGGGCUAAGCAUAUUACCGAAGUUGCGAAUUGUGUAGAUAAUACACAGUGGUAGGGGAGCGUUCCAACAGGGAAGAAGGUCGAUCGAGAGGACGGCUGGACUGGUUGGAAGUGAGAAUGCCGGUAUGAGUAGCGCAAGAUGGGUGAGAAUCCCAUCCACCGUUUGCCUAAGGGUUCCUGGGGAAGGUUCGUCCUCCCAGGGUAAGUCAGGACCUAAGACGAGGCCGAAAGGCGUAGCCGAUGGACAACAGGUUUAUAUUCCUGUACUACUUAUAUGACAGAUGGAGUGACGGAGAAGGCUAGGACGAUCCAGUGAAUGGAUUCUGGUCUAAGCACAAAGGCUUGUAUAUAGGCAAAUCCGUAUACAGACAAGCUGAAGUGUGAUGGGGAAGGUACAAGAGUACUGAACUCGUCUGACGCCAAGCUUCCAAGAAAAGCUUCUAUGGUUAAUCAUAUAGGUACCUGUACCGAGAACCGACACAGGUGGGCAAGGAGAGUAUCCUAAGGUGAGCGAGAGAACUAUGGUUAAGGAACUCGGCAAAAUGACUCCGUAACUUCGGGAGAAGGAGUGAUCAAGCGAUUGAUCCGCAGUGAAUAGGCCCAGGCGACUGUUUACCAAAAACACAGGUCUCUGCAAAGUCGUAAGACGAAGUAUAGGGGCUGACGCCUGCCCAGUGCUGGAAGGUUAAGAGGAGAGCUAAGCUGAACGUAAGUUGAUAUGCGAAGGUUCGAAUUGAAGCCCCAGUGAACGGCGGCCGUAACUAUAACGGUCCUAAGGUAGCGAAAUUCCUUGUCAGGUAAG
rnacentral:rRNA from 1 species